rnacentral:rRNA from 1 species
UUGGACAAUGGGCGCAAGCCUGAUCCAGCAAUGCCGCGUGUGUGAAGAAGGCCUUCGGGUUGUAAAGCACUUUUGUCCGGAAAGAAAUCCGUCUGGCUAAUACCCGGACGGGAUGACGGUACCGGAAGAAUAAGCACCGGCUAACUACGUGCCAGCAGCCGCGGUAAUACGUAGGGUGCGAGCGUUAAUCGGAAUUACUGGGCGUAAAGCGUGCGCAGGCGGCUUUGUAAGACAGAUGUGAAAUCCCCGGGCUCAACCUGGGAACUGCAUUUGUGACUGCAAGGCUAGAGUGCGUCAGAGGGUGGUGGAAUUCCGCGUGUAGCAGUGAAAUGCGUAGAGAUGCGGAGGAACACCGAUGGCGAAGGCAGCCUCCUGGGAUGACUCUGACGCUCAUGCACGAAAGCGUGGGGAGCAAACA